AGUGAACGCUGGCGGUAGGCCUAACACAUGCAAGUCGAACGGCAGCACAGGAGAGCUUGCUCUCUGGGUGGCGAGUGGCGGACGGGUGAGGAAUACAUCGGAAUCUACUUUUUCGUGGGGGAUAACGUAGGGAAACUUACGCUAAUACCGCAUACGACCUACGGGUGAAAGCAGGGGACCUUCGGGCCUUGCGCGAUUGAAUGAGCCGAUGUCGGAUUAGCUAGUUGGCGGGGUAAAGGCCCACCAAGGCGACGAUCCGUAGCUGGUCUGAGAGGAGGAUCAGCCACACUGGAAGUGAGCCACGGUCCAGACUCCUACGGGAGGCAGCAGUGGGGGAUAUUGGACAAUGGGCGCAAGCCUGAUCCAGCCAUACCGCGUGGGUGAAGAAGGCCUUCGGGUUGUAAAGCCCUUUUGUUGGGAAAGAAAUCCAGCUGGCUAAUACCCGGUUGGGGUGACGGUACCCAAAGAAUAAGCACCGGCUAACUUCGUGCCAGCCGCCGCAGUAA
rnacentral:rRNA from 1 species